rnacentral:rRNA from 1 species
GAUGAACGCUAGCGGCGGGCUUAACACAUGCAAGUCGAGGGGCAGCAUAAUGGAUAGCAAUAUCUAUGGUGGCGACCGGCGCACGGGUGCGUAACGCGUAUGCAACCUACCUUUAACAGGGGGAUAACACUGAGAAAUUGGUACUAAUACCCCAUAAUAUCAUAGAAGGCAUCUUUUAUGGUUGAAAAUUCCGAUGGUUAGAGAUGGGCAUGCGUUGUAUUAGCUAGUUGGUGGGGUAACGGCUCACCAAGGCGACGAUACAUAGGGGGACUGAGAGGUUAACCCCCCACACUGGUACUGAGACACGGACCAGACUCCUACGGGAGGCAGCAGUGAGGAAUAUUGGUCAAUGGACGCAAGUCUGAACCAGCCAUGCCGCGUGCAGGAUGACGGCUCUAUGAGUUGUAAACUGCUUUUGUACGAGGGUAAACGCAGAUACGUGUAUCUGUCUGAAAGUAUCGUACGAAUAAGGAUCGGCUAACUCCGUG